rnacentral:lncRNA from 1 species
UGUAUGGAAUUUGUUUCAAGAGAUACAUAUUUUAAAAGGCACAGAGUUUGUAUUCGGUGUCUGCACUUGCAUUAGGAAACCCUGAGAUCAUCUGUGGGAUGAGGAGGAGGGAGGACCGAAUGUGCAGUGGACAGAAAUGAGGGCAAGACAUUUCCUAAACAUCUUUUCAUAUCUUCUUAUCUUUGAACAAUGUAAAUAUAGUACCUAUUCAAAAAUAAGUUUAAAAAGUAAAAUUUAGGGAGUUCUCUUCGUUAACAAACCCAGCUAGGAUCCAUGAGGAUAUGAGUUCUAUCCCUGGCCUCACUCAGUGGGUGAAGGAUCUGGCAUUGCCCUGAGCUGUGGUGUAGGUUGAAGACGCGGCUCGGAUCUCAGGUUGCUGUGUCUGUGGUGUAGGCCAGCAGCUGCUGUUCCGAUUAGACCCCUGGCCUAGGAACUUCCAUAUGCCUCGAGUGUAGCCCUAAAAAGAAAAAGAAAAAAUAAUAAUACUAGUAAAAAAUUUUACUAGAAAAACUCUUUUAAAAUUUCAUAUAUGCAAAAGUUGUGUCAAGAAAUAAUUGUCUAUGGACUUCCCCUGUGGCCUAGGUGCUAUUUCUGCUCUGGUUUGAUCCCUGCAACAGCGGCAACCCAAGACACUGCAGUGAUGACACAAGGUCCUUACCCCCCUGCCCUACGAGGGAACUCCUCCUUAGUGCCUUUUUUUUUUUUUUUUUUUUGUCUUUUGUCUUUUUGUUGUUGUUGUUGUUGCUAUUUCUUGGGCCGCUCCCGCGGCAUAUGGAGAUUCCCAGGCUAGGGGUUGAAUCGGAGCUGCAGCCACGGGCCUACGCCAGAGCCACAGCAACGCAGGAUCCGAGCCGCGUCUGCAGCCUACACCACAGCUCACGGCAACGCCGGAUCGUUAACCCACUGAGCAAGGGCAGGGACCGAACCCGCAACCUCAUGGUUCGUAGUCGGAUUCAUUAACCACUGCGCCACGACAGGAACUCCAUUAGUGCCUUUUUUAAAAGGGUUUCACUUUCAGAAACUUAGUUUCUGUUUAAAGAUACAAAUCUGUCACUAUAUUCUUACUACAUCCUUAAGAGCAAAUUAUAGACUUUUGACAAGAUCCAGCGCCUAUCAGAUAAAAAAGUUAAAACAAAUAAACAAACAAACAAAAACUUGUUACA